ensembl:lncRNA
CCCGGUGCGUGUGCAUGGCGGGAGCGCGCGUGGUGUCUCCGCAUGUGACGUAGUAUUGUGUGCGGGAGUGAGCGCUCGGCAGCUCUCGGUUGGGUUCGGUGAGUCAGAGUCGAAUCGGGCGAGCAACACGCGAGCGGGGGAUUUGUGGAACACUUGUUCGGCUGGUGAGCGGUCUCCUGACAAAAAUCACAACUGUUUAAACAUGUCGGGGGAUAACGAAGAGACUCAGACAGCUGAGGAGACGCCGGUGGAAGAGAAGGAGGUUCAGGAAAAGACGAUCAGCCCCGAGAAGGCAGAAGAGGCUAAACUGAAAGCAAGAUAUCCAAAUUUGGGAAAUAAACCCGGAGGGUCGGAUUUACUUCGGAAACGCCUUCAGAAAGGGGUGAGUAAUCUCAUGUGUUUGUCUUCAAAACAUAAAGGGUUCACUUUAGGAUUGUCCUUGAAGCUUUUGCUAUUUUAUAUAGGUGCGCUACACGGUCCUGACUAGCAAGUUAUUGGUGUUGGACAUAGUUAAUAGAGAAAUAUGUCCAGCCCAGUUUAUCAGGAAAUUAAACUGAGAAACUGACACAUAUUGGGGGGUUUCUGUUUUAUUUUUCUUUGGUUUUUUUAACUUAUAAAAUGAGUAUAUUUCCAGAAUUGUCUUCCAUAGAAAACAGUUCAGUCUCGGUAAAAUCAACUUUGAUUGUGGAUGCAAUUUAAGGAUUUUCUGCUUCUGUCAUGUUGUAAAAUCUGGGACAGCAGAGAAUCGAAAAUAGGUUUAGGUUUAAAUAACUUGCGAUUGGCACCGUAAUAAUUACUUGACUUUUUAAAAGUAAUCACCUGUCAGUAGAAGACCAUCUAAUAUCUGCUGAAGGGCUUAAUAAUAUAUCACAGCAUGAUUUAACCUGUGUGGUCAGCUUCCAGGAAAUUUUCCAUUCUCUUUUAGAACAUUUUAGUAAUCAUGUUUGUUGUGAUAAUAAUACACUAACCAAGAUUAAUUUUCUUUGAAUAAAUAAAUAUUUUUCAUGUACUUCUCACAAGAAAUUACCUGCUGCAGUAAUUUCUUUUUGAAAAACUGAUGUUCCCUAAAAUUAUUAUUCGCAAGUGAUGCUAGUUUCAGUCAUUGUGCAGAAGUACUGUUUAUAAGGGUGGGGAAACCUGCAGUCAGCUGAAACUGAAGAAGUCACUUGGAUGAGUGAUGAAACUUUUCUCCCACUUAAAGCGCUAUGUCCAGAUGAACAGAAUCAACUUUUUGGGAUUUCCUUACCUGGGUGACACUAGUUUUUUCUUUUUCUAGUUUUUGCAUUUAAUUUGCUGAUCAAGAUUGUUACUGAGUGUAUGUGUUCUAAUGUUAUACUGUGUGUAUUUCUCAUAGUGGAUGUUUUUCUUUCAGUGUUUGCAUGGUCCUCUCUGAGGAAAGUUUGUCUUGGCAAUUUGGCAUUUAUAUUUCCUGUGUGAUACCCUGAGAGACCACAGAAAGCCUUCACCAGUUGUCAAUAAGAAAAAAGAAAGACCUGGUUAAAAUUCCUUAAUAAAAUCUCAGGAGUGUACCUUUUUGAUCUACAGGGUGGGCCAUUUAUAUAGAUACACCGUAAUAAAAUGGGAAUGGUUGGUGAUAUUAAAGUCCUGUUUGUGGCACAUUAGUAUAUGUGAGGGGGCAAACUCCUCAAGAUGGGUGGUGACCAUGGUGGCCAUUUAGAAGUCGGCCAUCUUGGAUACAACUUUUGUCUUUUCAAUAGGAAGAGGGCCAUGUGACACAUCAAACUUACUGGUAAUGUGACAAGAAUAACAAUGGUGUGCUUGGUUUCAACGUAACUUUAUUCUUUCAUGAGUUAUUUACAAGUUUCUGACCACUUAUAAAAUGUGUUCAAUUUGCUGCCCAUUGUGUUGGAUUGUCAAUGCAACCCUCUUCUCCCACUCUUCACACACUGAUAGCAACACCGCAGGAGAAAUGCCAGCACAGGCAUCCAAUAUCCGUAGUUUCAGGUGCUGCACAUCUCGUAUCUUCACACCAUAGACAAUUGCCUACAGAUGACCCCAAAGAUAAAAGUCUAAGGGGGUCAGAUCGGGAGACCUUGGGGGCCAUUCAACUGGCCCACGACGACCAAUCCACUUUCCAGGAAACUGUUCAUCUAGGAAUGCCUGGCACCCAUAAUGUGGUGGUGCACCAUCUUACUGGAAAAACUCAGGGAACGUGCCAGCUUCAGUGCAUAAAGAGGGAAACACAUCAUCAUGUAGCAAUUUCAAAUAUCCAGUGGCCUUGAGGUUUCCAUUGAUGAAGAAUGGACCCACUAUCAUUGUACCCCAUAUACUGAGACUUUUCAAAAUAAACAAUCACGUGAAAGAGCAGAUUAUUUACAGAUGAGAAGUAAAAAAAGAGCCGCCAGGUGCUAAAAAAUAAACCUUAGACUCAAACUCAUUGAGAUGCUGCAGUAGCUGGAGUUGUUAAGGGUGCCAUUUGUGAGUAGCUAAUAUCCGCCGAAGAGAUGUUCAACUAAUGCCACUCUCCAGCGACAUGCGGCGAGUGCUACGCUGUGGGCUCUUGCUGAAUGAAGCUAGGACAGCCACUGAUGUUUCUUCAUUAGUGACAGUUUUCUUGCGACCAAAUUUUGGCAAAUCCAACACUGAACCAGUUUCACGAAACUUAGCAAGCAGUUUGCUAACUGUAGCAUGUGAGAUUGGUGGUCUCGCAGGGUGUCUUGCAUUGAAAUCUGCUGCAAUGACCCGGUUACUGCGUUCACCAGAUAUCGACACAAUUUCAAUCCGCUCCUCACGUGUUAACCUCUUCGACAUGUCAAUGGCUGUGAAGAAAGAGAAACUUGUAAAUAACUCAUGAAAGAAUAAAGUUACGUUGAAACCAAGCACACCAUUGUUUUUCUUGUGACAUUACCAGUAAGUUUGAUGUGUCACUUGGCCCUCUUCCUAUUGAAAAAACAAAAGUUGUAUCUAAGAUGGCCGACUUUUAAAUGGCCACCAUGGUCACCACCCAUCUUGAGGAGUUUGCCCCCUCACAUAUACUAAUGUGCCACAAACAGGACUUUAAUAUCACCAACCAUUCCCAUUUUAUUACGGUGUAAAUGGCCCACCCUGUAGAUCGCAGUUUGUGGGAUUUACUCUGACAUUUAAAAAAUUAGACAUUUUUAAAUUGGUGUCUAUUUUCAUUGGUGCCACUUUUGUUUAAUUUGAAUCUUCUGUUUUUCUGCAGCAAAAGUACUUUGACUCUGGUGACUACAACAUGGCAAAAGCGAAGAUAAAGAACAAACAGCUGCCAACAGCUGCACCAGAGAAGACCGAGAUCACAGGGGACCACAUCCCCACCCCCCAGGACCUGCCCCAGAGGAAACCCUCUCUUGUGGCCAGUAAACUGGCAGGCUGAUGUACACGCAGCCUCAGAUGGCCCCCUCAGCACCUCCCAGCCCCUAAUCCUCUCCACUUAAGUCUCAGAGAUUUAAUAUUACCUCUCCUAUGUCUCACUUUAUCACUCCACCCUCUCCACACUGGCCUGGGCCCCACCCAACUGGAUUCCACACCUCCAGGUCAACCAUGUCAAAUCCUCUUUUUUGUUUCAACCCACCCUUUGGCUUUUUCUCUACUGCCACCACAUCCUUUCCUCUGUUAUUGUCCUCCUACAUUUCCUUCAUGUCUUGUCUUUACCUCCAUGUUUGUCCAUGUACACUGAAGAAACGGUCUGUGAUGCCUCUGAACAAUGGAUGGACAGCAGAUAUGACUGUUUACGAGCUGAAGUGAGGGGCGAGCAGCAGAAGCUUGCAUCUUGUGAGGUUUGGGCGCGGGGGGGAUUUAGUGUGGUGUUCAGUCUGGAGAUUAUGAUUGUGUGUGUGUGUGUGUGUAUGUAUCUGAUAUAUAUUUGUCUGGCACAGGGGCAGAAUGUUUUACAUCAGAUUUGUAUUAUUCACUGUAUGACCUUACUCUAAAUUAUGCUGUCAAUAUGCUUGAAUGAUUGAAUAUAGUAAUUCAGAGGCCAAGUUCCGUUUUAUUAACACUAUGAUUGUGUCUGCAUUAAAGGACCUUGCAGUAAAGGCUGGGGUGUCACUUUGAACUGCAUGUGUGAUGCUGGGCUCCCGAAGGUGAAGCUUCACAUACUGCAUUUUUAUUCAUCAAGGUGCACUGAGCAGAUGUUUAAAAGAGAUGCUAAAAAGCUUGGGUGCGGCUCAAAUGCUGGUAGCAGGUAGUUCCUUCAAGAAGUGUCAGAAAUAGAUCCUCUUCUUAAAAGAGCAAAAUGCAGUGUUUUUAAGUUUACACUGUGUGCUGCUCCAUUUUAUAUGCCGACACAGUCCUCUCCUAAGGAUGGAGUCAUCAUGAAUGAAUCAGGUUUUAAAGGGUUAGAGGGGAUACAGGACCUGAAGGGUAAAAUCCUUCAGAGGGACCAGUCUUUAUGCUGUAUACAUUGGUGGACAAAAACAAGGAACAAAUAGUGUAAGUUUUGGGGAAAUAAUCUUGUGUAAUCAUGACUUAAAGUAGUUUUAUCUUUAGCCCUGCAUAGUGCUUUUCCAGAAGUUUUUACUGGCCAGAUGCAAUUUACUUGUGGUGUGAUAAAUCAAAGCUAGGACAUCUGUCCAAGUUGUGCAUGUACAUGGCUGCCCUGCUGUCACAUUGUGCCAUUUUGUUUUGUAAAUAAAGUAGUUUUGCACAAUA